GCGGACGUAGCUCAGUUGGUAGAGCAUCAGCUUCCCAAGCUGAGGGUCGCCGGUUCGAGCCCGGUCGUCCGCU
rnacentral:tRNA from 1 species